rnacentral:ribozyme from 1 species
GAUGAAGUAAAAAAUGCGUUUGAAACCUCCCAAAAAAAAAAAAAAAAAAAAAAAAAAAAUUUUUUUUUUUUAAAGGUUGUGUUUUUU